UUUAAAUGUAGCUGCAGACAGCCAGUGGUGCAGGACGGAGCACUUAAGCUGCUGGUCACCGUGCUCCCCUCUCCGUUUGGUGCAGUGCUCAUCAUGUGUGUAUGUGUGGCUGUAUCAUGUGGAGUUCCCGGGAACGGGGAAGUGAUGUCGGCUCCUGGUGCAGUAGCUGAGCUCUAGGCACUGCUGUUUUU